ACCACAGCAUGCACAAGGCCGGUCUCCUGACGAAAACACGAAGUUAGACUCAGUGCCUUACGAGGCCGAGACGUACGCUUCCCCAAGGCAUUGCUGGCUGCACGAACGGCCUCCUCGGGCGGGUCGUCAGACAGGGACGGUCGGGCCCGGGCUGGCCCGGGCGCACAGGGCUAGCCUUCCAGACACCAGCCCCCGUGGGUGGGAAGCGGCAAAGCAAACCAACAAACACCUGCUACGACACCGCUUCCAUCCCGCCUGGCACGGCCAGCGCCGGCCCAAGAUGGAGAAAACCAGCGCAGGCCUCCCGCACCAACGCCCCUUCUAGUGCGCAGGCGCGCGCGGAGGCCCCGCCCCCCGCGCUCCCGCCAAGACCCGGCGCGCGCGUCGGAAGUCAGAGACUUCAAGGCCCCGCCUUUGCUCUUCCGCCCCAAGGCCCCGCGUUCGCAGGCCGGUUCCGGUUGUAGCCCCGCCCUCGCGCGGGAACAUGCCAGAAGGUCUGAUAUCCGGAACGGGAGGCUGGCUCAAGCGCGCACUUCCGGUGGUGCCCCUUCCCAUCUCCCUGGAGGCCCAGGCUCUCGCUCUCGGUGCGGCAGCGCCAUCUGGCGCCGAGUGUUCCUCCGCCCGCCGAGGGGCGCGCGCUUCCUCCCUUCGGAACCUUCCAGAGACGCCGCGGCCCGGGUAGGCUUUACGCAUUCCGCCAGAAGGGCGGGACCUAAGACUCCGCCCCUGCCGAGUUCCCGCGCGGGAAGGGUUUUGCGGUUACUCUGAACGGAAACAGUUGGAGUCCUGAUGUGGAACGGACCUCAAGCGGCAGGAAGUCGGCUUUUUCCCGCGAAAUGAAGCCCUAGUGCCACAGUUCCGGUUCCCUUUUGUUCUGUUUUCGGGUUCCACGUUUCUGGGCCGCAGUCCCUCUCUCUCCAAAUGUGGAACAACUGUAGCAUUGCCCUGAAGAAUGACCAGUGUGGCAAGAUGAGCCUGCCAGUGCCAGAAGAGGCACAAGUCUUGGGGCUGUGAUCACACACAGAUCCUGAUCAUAUGGUUGGCUCUUAAUAUUCAUCGAGGAUUUCAACUCCAGAUCAGCAUUCAGAACCUGCCUGUCUACACUGAUGCUCCUCAGGCUUUGACACAUCUGAGAGUCUUAAAAGGGAGGUUGUGAUUUACUAGGCCUGCAAUGGAGCCUGAGGUUCUGCAUAUUUAAGUUUCCCAGAUGCUGCCAAGCAGCCAAUCCAUAGACAACACCGUAGGAAGCAAGGUUCUACAGCCCUGCUUCCCAUAUGGUAUCCUCAAGCAACACAAGGCUAUUAAGCACUUGAAAUGAACUAGCUUCAAUUGCUUCAAGCAUAAAAUGCACA